ACACUCAUGAAGCUGAGGGCAGAAGUGGGAGGGAGGGGGCAGUGGCACAAAGCCAGACAAGUUUACCCCACCCUUCCUUUUGGCCUUGACCCCUCAGCCCCAAACCACCCUGCUGUUGGCUAGCCCUUCUGCCUCCUAUGCCGUCAGCACACAAAGGCUGACUCAUACAGAUGCCUGUAUUCAACGCAGGCAGAUUCCCCUGCCUCCAAGAGGCAUUCCCUUGCCAUUUCCAUUAGUGCUCAAGAAGGGGCUGCUUUCAGCAGAGGCAGGAAUAAAGGGAGGCUCAAAACCCCAGGAUGGUUUAUUUGUGGGUAUAGAGUAUGCCACGGCCAUAGGAGCAACUGCAGAGAUGAGCAGGACUUAAGGAUAUACAAUUAACAGAUGAGGCAGAGGCAAAAAGAGACACAAACACAAUGCAAUAGUUUUUAACCUGGCUUGAUUAAUGCUGUCAAGUUGCACAUCUGAGUGUGAGCUCAGUGGGACUGUUGCUUUUGUUUAAUACCACAAGACACCUCAGUCUGGAUUGUUGCAUUACAGUACAAAUAAAAACCAGAAACAAAACCACAUCUGCAUCAUACAGGGUGAGAAGAUGAGAAUCCUAAAUAUUUACAGAGAAGGGCAAGGGGAGAAAACCACAAAAAAUAUUUACAUAAAAAUACAGGAGCUUGUCAGCAUAUACAUUUUACACCAGUUCACAAAAAAAGACACUCUAUAAAUUAAAGUGAAGGGAACUCCAAAGGGAACCCAAGACUUUCUGCGAGGUUUUUCUCUCAUGCGGCUCAGGGAAAGAAAAAUCAAGUCUUUUACAGCAGGAAAAGGAACUGCAAAACAACCCUUUCCUCCUCCCUCCCCACAACCGGAUGAGGCAAGGCUCCACACACACAGGUUUUAUGUCUGUUGAGACCAGACCAUGCCUUUCACCAUCAGGGAUCUGCAGCACGAGGCUCUGGGGAAACUGCUGCUCUCCUAAGCUGCCUCUAAGGGAAGCAAACCAGGUUUUCAUCCAUGUUUCCUAAUGCUUCAGUCACUGUACUGAUGACCAGAGUACACAUGAGGGUCUGUCCCUCUCUGGAGGUAGAGAGGAACAGCAGGUUUUCAAGUUGGUUUUGGUUUGGUGCAGCAACUUACUACCACUGUGCAAUCCUUACUGACACCCCCCCCCCCCCUUCAAACGAUGAGCAUAAAGCCAGGACCUCUGGAAAGACAAUAGGCACAAAGUUGUGGGUGUUUUGUCUGGGCAUAUAGAUUUCACCUGAUAAAGACUCUUUAAAAGGGAGACAUUAAUACUUUACUUAAGACUUCAUAGGGACUAGGUCCUCAUUACCCAACAUCUGCACUCCCCCUGGCUCUAAAGUCUCUGCUCUGAAGCAGAGGUGACAAUCCAGUGUCACCUGCGUGCGUUAGGGAGAACCUUGGCUGGAAACCUGGGAAGUGGCAAUUUCAGACGCAGACAGCUUGUGGCAACUUAGAAGGGUGUUACUUCAGAACAUAGCCGCUUGUCGUAUCACUGGAGAUAGGGUUAGGCAAGGAAUUACUACUCGGGGCAGAAUGGGACUUGCAGUAAGUGUUUUUUGUGUUGCCCUCCCAUUUCUCUGCUAGGACCCUAAGAACUGAACAACCAACUCACAGGUCCUACUCACACAUCUGGUGUAACCCCCCCCUCCUCACCCUGAUGCAUGAUGCCCUCUGUAAGCUCAGCUAUGAUUUGGGGAUGUUUUGACUUGAUGCUGACUCAGUUGAUGAGGAUAACCACAGUACAAAAGGACUGCAUAGUUCACUGUAUGGCUUUGUGCGGGGUGGAUGCGGGACGCCUCCUGAAUUGUACUCAAUGUUUAAGCCAUGGGCAGUAGCUACACUAAAAGAAAGGUGCUGGUGUACUAUUCUCUGGGAAAAGCUGGUGCCUUAACCUUGCUUUCUGUUUGCCUUCUUGCCCUUGUGGCUCAACACUAACGUACAGCAGUUACUUUGGGCUCUCGGAGAGCUUGCAGCCCUUGAAGUACGCGCUCAUGUGGCUGUGUGCAGAGGGACAGUAAGUUCCCUGAUGCCUUUUUUAGAUGGAGACCUUAUUCUCAAGAGGAAGGCUGCGUGUAGCAGCCACCUCACUUCCAGAAGCCCUUUACAGCUUUUCCUUCCCAUGGGUGACAGGGUACUUGGCACCUCACACAAUGCACCGAGCAGCAGGGCCCAGGCUCAGGCAGGAGUAGUGAUAAGCCCGUAAGGAACAGAAAUUGUCCAAGGAUGGCACUAGAGGGAGACAGUGGCUUUGAGCAGGAAAAUCCAGGGAGGCAUUGACAAUUCCUGGGAGCUGGACUCAGCUCCC